rnacentral:rRNA from 1 species
CAGCCGCCGCGGUAACACGGAGGGGGCUAGCGUUGUUCGGAAUUACUGGGCGUAAAGCGUACGUAGGCGGCUUUGUAAGUUAGAGGUGAAAGCCUGGUGCUCAACACCAGAACUGCCUUUAAGACUGCAUCGCUUGAACGUCGGAGAGGUGAGUGGAAUUCCGAGUGUAGGGGUGAAAUUCGUAGAUAUUCGGAAGAACACCAGUGGCGAAGGCGGCUCACUGGACGACUGUUGACGCUGAGGUACGAAAGCGUGGGGAGCAAACAGGAUUAGAUACCCCCGUAGUCCCUGUCUCUUAUAC